rnacentral:misc_RNA from 1 species
UCUCCGUAGGUGAACCUGCGGAGGGAUCAUUACAGAGUUCAUGCCCUACCGGGUAGAUCUCCCACCCUAUGUUAUUAUUACUUUGUUGCUUUGGCGGGCCGUUAGGCUCCGGCCCGACUACCGGCCCCGGCUGGUAAGCGCCCGCCAGAGGACCCAAAACCCUGAAUAUUAGUGUCGUCUGAGUACUAUAUAAUAGUUAAAACUUUUAACAACGGAUCUCUUGGUUCUG